rnacentral:rRNA from 1 species
GACGAACGCUGGCGGCGUGCUUAACAUAUGCAAGUCGAACGGUAAGGCCCUUCGGGGUACACGAGUGGCGAACGGGUGAGUAACACGUGGGUGAUCUGCCCUGCACUUCGGGAUAAGCCUGGGAAACUGGGUCUAAUACCGGAUAGGACUCCGGACUGCAUGGUCUGGGGUGGAAAGCUUUUGCGGUGUGGGAUGGGCCCGCGGCCUAUCAGCUUGUUGGUGGGGUGAUGGCCUACCAAGGCGACGACGGGUAGCCGGCCUGAGAGGGUGACCGGCCACACUGGGACUGAGAUACGGCCCAGACUCCUACGGGAGGCAGCAGUGGGGAAUAUUGCACAAUGGGCGCAAGCCUGAUGCAGCGACGCCGCGUGAGGGAUGACGGCCUUCGGGUUGUAAACCUCCUUCAGCAUCGACGAAGCGAAAGUGACGGUAGGUGCAGAAGAAGGACCGGCCAACUACGUGCCAGCCGCCGCAGUAA